CUUUGAUCCAGGGCCAGGUGCCUUGAGUUUGGGUUCAGCCACCAUCCUUCGUACUUGGGGUAAACCUGAUUUGAGGAUGCUGAAGACGGCCUCCUGCACCAUGAAGAACCCAGUCCUUGGAGACACCCAGACCUGAGUCCACAUCCAGACAUCAGCUCUUACCAUGUGGCCUGGGUCUUCCUGCUGACUGAAUCCGGCUCCCCCGGAUGAACAAGGAUCAUCUCCCUUAACUAAAGUCAACCGACUGUGGACUUGAUUCACAUCUACAAAAUUCCUUCACAGCAACUCCUGGGAGAGAGUCUGGUUGAAUAACUGGAGGCUGUAACCUCGCCAAGUUCAUGCAUCAAAAGAUCGUCUCGAGAACCUUUCCUAAUGAGCCCUUUCAGCUUCCCUUGUGGGUCAGCUGGUAAAGAAUCUGUCUGCAAUGCAAGAGACCACAGUUCGAUUCCUGGGUCCUAGAAAGAUCCGCUGGAAAAGGGAUAGGCUACCCACUCCAGUAUUCCUGGGCUUCCCUUGUGACUCAGCUGGUAAAGAAUCUGCCUGCAAUGCAGGAGACCUGGAUUUGGCCCCUGGGUUGGAAAGAUCCCCUGGAGAAGGGAAAGGCUACCCACUCCAGUAUUCUGGCCUGGAGAAGUCCAUGGACUAUAUAGCCCGUGGGGUGGAAAAGAGUCAGACGACUGAGCGACUUUCAUUUUCACUUCACAACCAUCAUCCUGAUUUGUUCCUACAACAGUAAGAAUCAUGAAGAGUCCUUGGGCUGCUCCUUGGAAAAGAGACACUGCCAGGGAGGAGUUCCCGGAGAGAGUCUCACGGGAACAGAUCCAGGAUUCUACCCGCAGGCGUGGCUCAUCCAGUUCCGCCAGAAGGAAACCAACUUGCCCCGGUAACCUCCAUCUCAUGAGCAUGUCCAGAACUCAUCUGGGGUGAAGCUUUGCCUGUUUAGUUUAUGUUAGUCCUUGUUCUCGAAUCAGAUGCAUCCACAGGACCAUCUCUUCUCCUGUCAGUUGCCUGGCUGGCACAGACACUCUUGUCCCAGUGCUUGCGUAUUGUUGAAAAUGUUCCCUUAGAGUAGAAAUGAAAUUUGACUAUAAUUUAUAGAUUUGGGGAUGAAUAUUUUUGGAUUCAAUAUAUCCAUUUCCCAUGACUAUUUCUAGGAGAAGAAAAAGCAACAGAGACUUUGACCAAUGGAUAUAAAAUCAGAAUGGCAAAGGAAUAAUCACCUUUUCAUUUUUUCUUUAUUAAAUUUAAAAGCAUG